AUUGAACGCUGGCGGCAUGCCUUACACAUGCAAGUCGAACGGCAGCACGGGGGCAACCCUGGUGGCGAGUGGCGAACGGGUGAGUAAUACAUCGGAACGUGCCCAAUCGUGGGGGAUAACGUAGCGAAAGUUACGCUAAUACCGCAUACGAUCUACGGAUGAAAGCGGGAGAUCGCAAGACCUCGCGCGAGUGGAGCGGCCGAUAUCAGAUUAGCUAGUUGGUGGGGUAAAGGCCCACCAAGGCGACGAUCUGUAGCUGGUCUGAGAGGACGACCAGCCACACUGGGACUGAGACACGGCCCAGACUCCUACGGGAGGCAGCAGUGGGGAAUAUUGCGCAAUGGGGGGGAACCCUGACGCAGCGACGCCGCGUGAAGGAAGAAGGCCUUCGGUUGUAACGUUACUUUGUAUGAGGGACGAAGGAAGUGACGGUACCGUCAAAACAAAGACCACGGCAACUACCGUAGCCAGCAGCCGCGGUAAGGAGUAGGUACA
rnacentral:rRNA from 1 species